GUGAAUCAUCAAAUCUUUGAACGCAUAUUGCACUCUCUGGUAUUCCGGAGAGUAUGCCUGUUUGAGGGUCAUUUGAAAUAAUAUACAUUGCAAGAUUUCUCGGAAUUUAAAAUGGGUUGUCCAUUUUUUGUGUUCGCCUAAAAUCCAAGACAAGCUAAUUUUCUUGGGUUGCUUGAUACUUUUUGUAACCUUUUUACUUAACCAGGAAUCAUCGGGCGUUUUAUGUAUU
rnacentral:misc_RNA from 1 species